rnacentral:rRNA from 1 species
GACGAACGCUGGCGGCGUGCUUAACACAUGCAAGUCGAACGGAAAGGCCUCUUUCUGGGGGUACUCGAGUGGCGAACGGGUGAGUAACACGUGAGUAACCUGCCCUUGACUUUGGGAUAACUUCAGGAAACUGGGGCUAAUACCGGAUAGGAGCUCCUGCUGCAUGUUGGGGGUUGGAAAGUUUCGGCGGUUGGGGAUGGACUCGCGGCUUAUCAGCUUGUUGGUGGGGUAGUGGCUUACCAAGGCUUUGACGGGUAGCCGGCCUGAGAGGGUGACCGGCCACAUUGGGACUGAGAUACGGCCCAGACUCCUACGGGAGGCAGCAGUGGGGAAUAUUGCACAAUGGGUGGAAGCCUGAUGCAGCAACGCCGCGUGCGGGAUGACGGCCUUCGGGUUGUAAACCGCUUUCGCCUGUGACGAAGCGUGAGUGACGGUAAUGGGUAAAGAAGCACCGGCUAACUACGUG